CUAUUCCUCAAGUUCAGUGAAAUUGUAAGGCUACUAAUUUCUUUGAAUUGUAAUAACUCUGAAAAAUGUAAUCAUAUUAUUAGUUCUAUAAUUUAAUAUGGGCAUAUUUAGAGGACUAGAUCUAGCUUAAGCUAGUACAGUAGAAUCAAUUACAAGGUAGUAGGGGAAAAGUGGUAACGUCUAUAAUAAAUGUUUGAAACUGAUGAGAACUGAUUUCCGGUACAUGUAACAGAGUAACUUUAACACUUCCUAUCAAAAGAUAACACAACCCGUCAGGAUACCACCGAAAUCUUAAUAAGGUUGGGUCGGAGAGUGUAUCGAAGUUUAGAUACAUGUAGCAAACUUCUAUAACGGCUGUUUUACGACCGUUAUAGCUACAAACCGUAAUUA